rnacentral:rRNA from 1 species
GUGCCAGCAGCCGCGGUAAUACGAAGGGUGCAAGCGUUAAUCGGAAUUACUGGGCGUAAAGCGCGCGUAGGUGGUUCAGCAAGUUGGAUGUGAAAUCCCCGGGCUCAACCUGGGAACUGCAUCCAAAACUACUGAGCUAGAGUACGGUAGAGGGUGGUGGAAUUUCCUGUGUAAGCGUGAAAUGCGUAGUAUAUGGGAAGGACCCCAGUGGCGAAGGCGGACCCCCCGGAAUGAUACUGACAUUGAAGUGCGAAAGCCGUGGGGAGCAAACAGGAUUAGAUACCCUGGUAGUCC